GCGCAGCAAGCGAGAAUCCUCCGCAAUGCUCGAAAGAGCGACGGGGGACUCCAAGUGCCUACGCUCAGCGUAGGCUGUUCCCGAGCCUAAAAAGCUCGGGGAGUAAGGGCUGGGUAAGACGGGUGCCAGCCGCCGCGGUAAUACCCGCAGCCCGAGUGGUGGCCGCUAUUAUUGGGCCUAAAAGCGUCCGUAGCCGGCUCGGUAAAUGCCUGGGUAAAUCGUCUGGCCCAACCAGACGAAUUCCGGGUAGACUGCCGGGCUAGGGACCGGAGGAGGGAGAGGGUACUCCAGGGGUAGGGGUGAAAUCAGCAAGGUGAGUUGCUGAUGUAACUUGCCUUGCAAGUCACAAUCC
rnacentral:rRNA from 1 species